GGUAAUUUACCUGGUUCCACCAUCCUUUGACUAAGACAUGUUAUAUAGAGGCGAGGAGUAAUUGUGGAGUUCGCCAGCAGGGGGUAGUGUGGCAUUUAUUGUGCUCCACGGGGCUUUACGUCAGUUUUGUCCGCUUUGCGAUUUUCCUCUUUCUGCUGAGCGAGACGAAAAACGGACGCAGAGUUCGCCUGGUCUCAUUUAUUUCUCCUGUUUUCAGGGCCAGAUGUGGAAAAGACCAGGAAGAAGCCGGUGGAAGAGGAGACCCAUUGGAGAGCUGGCUGAACUGAUACUGGUUAGAGUAAUGGACAAGCAGGGUGAAGACAGGAACUGCAGUCAGGCUGAAAGCAGAUACGGCACAGUUGUCGUGAUCAGCUGCGAAAGGAGAUGGGGAUAUGUGACGAGAGGGGAGGGGUUGAGAGCCAUGGGAACAGAGCAAGGCCGGUGGAGUAAGUGAUAAUGCAUGACACCUGUGCCACUCACCAGUCUCGAGUCUCACGGAGGAGCUCCAGAAGGAUAAAAGGAGGAGUGACGACAGUGCAAGACGGGAGAGGACCAGGCCUACACUUUAUUUUGUGUUUUGGUUCUUUUGUAUUAAUUUUAUUAUUAAAGUUUUGUUUGAAUGUU